CAGACAGAGACAGUCAGGCAGCACAGCAGGGCGGAGCAGAAGCCAGCUCCCAGAAUCUCACAAAGUCAGAAGGCUGCCGAAUUUUAUAACGCCGCUGAUCGCCAUGUGCUCGUGCAUCUUGAGUGGAACCAUAAGUGGAAUUUCCAUACGUCCGGUUGCCAGAGAAACGGACUGAGCUUGCUGAGCUGAGUAUGGAACUCUUGCGGGCCGCCUCGCUUCGUGUUUCGAUUAUCACCGGUCGAUGAAGGGUUCUAAGAGGCGGAAAUUCGUUGACGGUGAUUGUAAUCUACGUCGUAAUCAUGGACAUGUGAUCAACCUUAAGUGUCAUGCUCGACUCGUUCUCAGUCAUCAAAGUUCUACAACGUGCGAAAUAACCUGAAAGCCAUACCCUCUUCUUCCUAUAACCCGGCAGAUGGUUCAUUGGCAGAAAUUAUUAUUCGGCGAUACCCGGAAAAAAACAAUCAUCGCUAAUACAAUAAGCGAAGCACAUCGAUCAUAUGGCAGCUAAAGAAAACCGCCUGAAUUUGUUAAAGUUGAUGACUUGGCCACUGUCCCGAAGUCGAAAUAUCCUUGCUUUGUUCUUUAUGUUUUUCUGUACUAAAGAUAAUAUUUUGACAGGUAUGGUUGUGUUGCUGUCCCAGCAUCUGCAUGAAUCCCAGGAUUCUGGACCGACCACCGAAAAUACCGCGAACAAUACGAUAUUGGAAAAUUUUGUAAAGUGGGUAAGCGAAGGAAAACAACGGAUUGGCCUAGAAAAAAAAAGGGGUUUUAAAAUGGCAUAUCCGAAGUAACCAAUGUACGCUCGUAUAUGAAUAAUUUGUGUCAUUUUAUUUUUCAAGGUAACGUCAGAUCUAAACCGUAGAGUUGAGUUUGCAGAAAGGGAAGGGUAAGAUAGACGACUUUCUCACAUUACCAUCUUGGGGUUCUAGCUAUUUUUUAACUGCCAUGUCUCCAUCUUUUUAGAGUUUGGGGAGGGAGAAAAUGAAAGUUCAUUGCUAUUAGACACUUGAUCCGUGUCCUGUCCCCGUAAUUUGUUUGGCCUUAUUGCAACAGUCUUUUGUAAGGAAUAUUCUUGGGCAUUUCGAAAAUCGAAUCAACAUUCCCAAAACCUAUUUGACGUAAUCAACUCAGUAUCGCACAAACUUCAUGACGUGCAUAUUUGUAUUGUUUUCGUUCCGUUUGUUGCCUUCGUCGUAAUUUUGCACGGAUCCGCAUUCAGCUUAUUUUCAAGAACAUUAUAGUAAUCCGGCAAUCUAGGUUUACGAUAAAGUUUCACGUUUCCUCCACCAGAUACCAGCCUAAACACGCUUGGGGCAGUCUCUUAGGCUGUUCUUCCACUGGGUUGGCCAAUGUCAGACUACCUCUUUGUUUACUUAAUGCAAGCGCGCUGGUUGCGUUUCUGCUCGGAGUUGGAGUUCAACAACCACAGGUAAUUUAAUAAUCAUAAUUUGUUCUGGAUUUGGUAUAGUCACAUACCACGAAGUCAGUUACGAUAUUGCAAGUUCGUUUUUUCUUACAGAGUGACCAGAAAAAAAACAAUAGUAGGAAGCAGUGAUCAGAAAGUGGAAAUGUAAAGCCUAAUUCCAUGAAUUUAAACAGAUCCUAGGUGAUGAAACCCCAAUUGCCUUGAUAGCUUAUUUGCCUAGCUGCAAAUGCUACAAAGCUCAUUUUUGAAGGAAACAAUGAGGCAUGUAGGAAGAAAUAUUGUUUGAUUACCUGAAAAAGGAUGAUUUUGGUCUUCACUCUUCUGUUGGAAUAUACCAUGCUACAAAAAUGUUCAGCUUCACAGGUAUAUGCUUAUCCUUUUCAACAAGGUUCUAUGUAAUUUUACUUGUCAAUUUUACUCAUUUUGUCAUGAAUGCUAUGUGUUAGUGACUGAUAUGUGUUAGUGACUGAUAUGUGUUAGUGACUGAUAUGUGUUAGUGCAAAAGCAAAACUAGACUUGAGUUGUGAUGUCACUGCGAUGACUGAGGUUGUGAUGACAUCAGCUCCCACUAAAGAAAUCGUUCUCGGAAGUUCUCCGAACCUUAAGUGAGUUGUAAAAGUGCUUAAGGUAUUGGUGAUUGAAGAACAUUGUUUUAGCAUAAUAUCAAUGACAGUGUAAACAAUGAGUAAACAAGGUAACUAUAAUGGAUUCUUUAGACCAUAAACUAUACUUUUCAAAUGCAAACACCAACAAUCAACAAAGUCAGUUGCAACUAGCCUGUGCAUUCUUGCUCCUUGGUCUAAAAAUUUUAAAACGGUUUCGUUUCGAGAUACUUGCCCGCUACCAGGAGUUUUCGGAUCCAAGUGGGGAAGAUCGUCACCAGAACAGCCGUGACGUGAACCGCGAAUCGCCUCGUUCUUAUGGCGGCAGCCUGCCAUUGGUUUCCCACCAGCAAAAGAUUCAUCAUCAAAUCCGAGCUACGCAGCAUUUGCAUCCGCUGGGCAGCGGAUGCCAUAUGGAGUUUGAAGGGGCGCCGCGUUUCGACGCCAAUUGCUACAGCCAGCGACCACGCUAGCAGCCGCAUGAACGAGAUCCGGCCCUGACUACACUCAACUUCAUGUAUAGUGAGUGCAUUUUUCUGGAUAGAGUUGUGGCAGAAAAAAAAUGAAGCCUUGUCGUAGAAGAAAACGUAGAAAAAAAAUAUUCAGAUUUAAAAACAGUUUACUAAGAUUGUGUAGAUUGUGAUGUGCUUGUUCAGAUGUUUUGGUGUGCGCGAUUUCGCCUUGUUAAAUAUGGCGAAUUUUUUCUCU